CGGUGCUUUUCAGUUUUCACCUAUUCACUGAUGAGACCUCUCACGCCCGUGUAAAUGUUUGACUCCGGAUAAAAGGUGUCUCUUUUUUUGUUUUUAUUUACUUUUAUUUUUUUAUGCACCGUAUAAAAAUUAUUUUGUAAUGAAAUUUCCAGAUUAUAGUUUUCAAUGAAAAUAUACCGUAUCAAAACAGACUCUCACCUCUCUUUAUAUACUCCUCAACACUUUCUCAUCUUCCACACCCCAAUAACCUCAAAGAGAAGAAGAGGCUUCAUAUGUGUGAGGCUCGAACUCGAUUGUGCAAUAUGAAGGAAGGUAAAGCCUUUUCAACGCUCGAAAAGGAUUAGGCAAUAAAGAUCCAAGACUGGUGGUUCAAGUUUGGGAGGGGGUGGAAUAAAGAAUGUUUACUCCUAAGCCAACGUGUUAUAUUCGGUGGAAGUUGGAAGAGAACACGUUUAUUUUGGAAUGGAAGGAUUUGGAAAGAAGGACCUUUUAUUACCAACUGAAGAAUAAAAUGACAAAAAAGAAUCAUGUUGGAGAUUUAGGCGUAGCAAAAUAUAUUUCCCACAUAAAAUAAAAAUCAGAUGAGAUAAUAAGGUAAGGCAAGUGCAAGGCAAGACAAGUUGUUGAAGAAUUAGAAUUGCAUCUCAUCACAGUUCCUCAGGUUGCAAAGUUACUUUUUUACUUUGCUUCAGUGUACCACAACUAAAGAUUAUAAGUUUUUUGUUAAUGUUAAGUUUUUUUUGUUUUGCUUAUUAAUUUAUAGGUCUAGAAAUUAACAGAUUUAUUAUUAUUGUACAAACAUGUGCUUUAUAAAUAUUAGAAGCUAAUACAUUGUAAAAUAUUAUGUAUUGUUGUAAUUGCAGUUAAU